rnacentral:rRNA from 1 species
CAGCAGUCGCCGCGGUAAUACGAAGGGGGCUAGCGUUGCUCGGAAUGACUGGGCGUAAAGGGCGCGUAGGCGGAUUGUUUAGUUAGGCGUGAAAUUCCUGGGCUUAACCUGGGGACUGCGCUUAAUACAGGCAGUCUAGAGUGAGGAAGAGGGUUGUGGAAUUCCCAGUGUAGAGGUGAAAUUCGUAGAUAUUGGGAAGAACACCGGUGGCGAAGGCGGCAACCUGGUCCUUGACUGACGCUGAGGCGCGAAAGCGUGGGGAGCAAACAGGAUUAGAUACCCCCGUAGUCCCUGUCUCUUAUAC